UGGGGAAUAUUGCACAAUGGGCGCAAGCCUGAUGCAGCCAUGCCGCGUGUAUGAAGAAGGCCUUCGGGUUGUAAAGUACUUUCAGCGGGGAGGAAGGCGAUAAGGCUAAUAACCUUGUCGAUUGACGUUACCCGCAGAAGAAGCACCGGCUAACUCCGUGCCAGCAGCCGCGGUAAUACGGAGGGUGCAAGCGUUAAUCGGAAUUACUGGGCGUAAAGCGCACGCAGGCGGUCUGUCAAGUCGGAUGUGAAAUCCCCGGGCUCAACCUGGGAACUGCAUUCGAAACUGGCAGGCUAGAGUCUUGUAGAGGGGGGUAGAAUUCCAGGUGUAGCGGUGAAAUGCGUAGAGAUCUGGAGGAAUACCGGUGGCGAAGGCGGCCCCCUGGACAAAGACUGACGCUCAGGUGUGAAAGCGUGGGGAGCAAACA
rnacentral:rRNA from 1 species